UGUGAAAGGCGGCGAGCUGGCAGAAACGUUAGCACGCCGGGCGAAAUGCUUAGCAGUAUUUUAUUUACCGUUACGUUCUGAGUUCAAAUUCCGCCGAGAUCGACUUUGCCUUUUAUCCUUUCGGGGUAGAUAAAUUAAGUACC